AACGAACGCUGGCGGCAGGCUUAACACAUGCAAGUCGAGCGCCCCGCAAGGGGAGCGGCAGACGGGUGAGUACCGCGUGGGAACGUACCUUUUGGUUCGGAACAACUCCGGGAAACUGGAGCUAAUACCGGAUAAGCCCUAACGGGGCAAGAUUUAUCGCCGAAAGAUCGGCCCGAUUCUGAUUAGCUAGUUGGUGAGGUAACUGCUCACCAAGGCGACGAUCAGUAGCUGUUCUGAGAGGAUGAUCAGCCACACUGGGACUGAGACACGGCCCAGAAUCCUACGGGAGGCAGCAGAGGGGAAUAGAGGAAAAUGGGGGCAAGCAUGAUCCAGCCAUGACGCGUGAGUGAUGAAGGCCUUAGGGUUGUAAAGCUCUUUUGACAGGGAAGAUAAUGACGGUACCGGAAGAAUAAGCAACGGCUAACUUCGUG
rnacentral:rRNA from 1 species